rnacentral:rRNA from 1 species
AUACGGAGGGUGCAAGCGUUAAUCGGAAUUACUGGGCGUAAAGGGUUCGUAGGCGGUUAUUUAAGUCAGAUGUGAAAGCCCCGGGCUCAACCUGGGAAUUGCAUCUGAUACUGGGUAACUAGAGUUUAAGAGAGGAGUGUGGAAUUUCCGGUGUAGCGGUGAAAUGCAUAGAGAUCGGAAGGAACAUCAGUGGCGAAGGCGGCACUCUGGCUUAAAACUGACGCUGAGGAACGAAAGCGUGGGUAGCAAACAGAAUUAGAAACCCUAGUAGUCC